UAAUACAUGCAAGUCGAGCGGACAGAAGGGAGCUUGCUCCCGGAUGUUAGCGGCGGACGGGUGAGUAACACGUGGGUAACCUGCCUGUAAGACUGGGAUAACUCCGGGAAACCGGAGCUAAUACCGGAUAGUUCCUUGAACCGCAUGGUUCAAGGAUGAAAGACGGUUUCGGCUGUCACUUACAGAUGGACCCGCGGCGCAUUAGCUAGUUGGUGAGGUAACGGCUCACCAAGGCGACGAUGCGUAGCCGACCUGAGAGGGUGAUCGGCCACACUGGGACUGAGACACGGCCCAGACUCCUACGGGAGGCAGCAGUAGGGAAUCUUCCGCAAUGGACGAAAGUCUGACGGAGCAACGCCGCGUGAGUGAUGAAGGUUUUCGGAUCGUAAAGCUCUGUUGUUAGGGAAGAACAAGUGCAAGAGUAACUGCUUGCACCUUGACGGUACCUAACCAGAAAGCCACGGCUAACUACGUGCCAGCAGCCGCGGUAAUACGUAGGUGGCAAGCGUUGUCCGGAAUUAUUGGGCGUAAAGGGCUCGCAGGCGGUUUCUUAAGUCUGAUGUGAAAGCCCCCGGCUCAACCGGGGAGGGUCAUUGGAAACUGGGAAACUUGAGUGCAGAAGAGGAGAGUGGAAUUCCACGUGUAGCGGUGAAAUGCGUAGAGAUGUGGAGGAACACCAGUGGCGAAGGCGACUCUCUGGUCUGUAACUGACGCUGAGGAGCGAAAGCGUGGGGAGCGAACAGGAUUAGAUACCCUGGUAGUCCACGCCGUAAA
rnacentral:rRNA from 2 species